ensembl:lncRNA
UGUAAUUGUGUGGGUGUGGUUACUCAUUGUGUUGAUUAGUGUCACCAGCUGUCGUUGAUUUCACCUCCCUUUAUAUGUCAGUAAAUUCCCUCUCAUGUUGUCAGAUCGUUGUGGUUGUUCCCUGGUGUGCGGCCUGUUCUUGUGUCUCGUCAAGCCCAGUUCUCCGUUGGAUUUCGUCAGUUCUUUGUGUUGUUUGGAUUUCGUCAGUUCCUUGUGUCGUCUGGAUGUUCAACGGUUCCUGGGUUUCUCUUCACGCUCUUCACCGCACCACCACCGGAUCGCCAUCUUGUCCCUGCUUCACCACCACCAACUGAUUGUUUGUCCCCGGCCUGUGUCUUUACUCUGACCCUCAUUAUUAUUAAACUUGUUAACUUGCAUCUUGCAUCCCCUCAUUAUUCAUCACAGAAUGAUCUGACCAAACAAUGGAUGCAGCAAGCACCUCUCAACUCCAGGAUUUCAUCGCUCACAGUAUCUCACGUAUGGACCAACAGGAAGAAAACAUCUCAGGCACAGGUCGAGCGGUACAAACACUCGUGAAGCAGGUGUCCGAGCUCACCCAACAGGUACAGCUUCUACGGACUCCCACUGCGUUCCCCACGCUGCCCGAUCCCCCAGCGCCGGCAGCAGCGGAAGGACCAGAGCCACGCCUACCCACACCAGAAGGAUAUUCCGGUGAGCCUGAAUUUUGUAGAGGAUUCCUCACGAGAUGUUCCAAGCAUUUUGCUUUACAACCACGUACUUUUCAGAGCGAACAGACAAGGGUAGCAUUUGUACUCACCCUGCUGUCAGGAAGAGCAACGCUUUGGGGAACGGCGGUGUGGGAGAACGGACACAACUGCUGCACCUCGUUCCUGAGAGUGGACACGCGUCUUAAUCGCGUAACCCGGCUGACGCGUCCCAGCCAUCCACAGCCCAGCUCAGAGAACCACCAGGCCGAUGGUGUGAGCGCGGUCAGCCCCGCAUUCGAUCAUGAGCCCAUGCAGGUGGGGAGAGCUCGGCUUUCCCGGGAGGAGAGAGAGAGGCGGAGAUCCCAGGGACUUUGCCUAUACUGCGGCCAGGCAGGCCACUUCAUCCACUCCUGUCCGGUAAAAGAGCAGGCCCGGUAAUCCCCAUCACUCCCCUCUCGCACCAGAUCACCGUCAACGCACUCAAUGGACAAGAACUUCCCCGGAUCACUCAUUCCACUGAAAGUAUCACCCCCAUCACUUCUGGCAAUCACACUGAAACCCUCUCACUUCUCCUCAUGGACUCACCACUUGCACCAGUGGUUUUGGGACACCCGUGGCUCUUUAAACACAACCCCCGGGUCGACUGGUGCACUAACACAAUUUCCACAUGGAGUAACCACUGUCAUGAAUCUUGUUUAGUGUCUGCCUGUCCCUCUGUGUCUGGUUCUGUUUCAGAGUAAGGCAGCAGAUUUGUCUAACGUGCCCGCGGAGUACCUCGACCUGAAGGAAGUGUUCAGUAAGUCCCGUGCUGCUUCUCUCCCUCCGCACCGUUCCUAUGACUGUGCGAUAGAUCUACUGCCAGGUAAAACUCCGCCUAAGGGCAAACUUUACUCUCUUUCUGUUCCUGAAAAUUAUUAGUCCGGUGGCAGUCCGACUCAAACUUCCUCCGGCGUACAGGAGAAUUCACCCCACCUUCCAUGUGUCUAAAAUCAAGCCCGUGUUUUAUUCUCCCAUUAAUCCGCAUGCCCCGGUCCCCCCGCCGCGACUUGUAGAUGGGGAACCCACGUAUUUGGUAAACCGCAUUCUGGACUCGAGACGGAGGGGACGCGGAUUUCAGUACUUGGUGGACUGGGAGGGUUACGGUCCGGAGGAGAGAAGUUGGGUUCCUGCUAGGGACAUUCUGGAUCACUCCCUUAUCGAUGAUUACAAUCGACAGAUCGUUGUGGUUGUUCCCUGGUGUGCGUCCUGUUCUUGUCUCGUCAAGCCCAGUUCUCGUUGGAUUUCGUCAGUUCUUCGUGUCGUUUGGAUUUCGUCAGUUCCUCGUGUCGUCUGGAUGUUCAGCUGUUCCUGGGUUUCUCUUCACGCUCUUCACUGCACCACCCCCGGAUCGCCAUCUCGUCCCUGCUUCACCACCACCACCUGAUUGUUUGUCCCCGGCCUGUGUCUUUACUCUGACCCUCAUUAUUAUUAAACUUGUUAACUUGC